rnacentral:misc_RNA from 1 species
UAGAGGUCGUUUCUCAGCCACUUCUCUCGGGUCUUAUGCGCAGCAGCACACACGUCCACACGCACACACCUCUCUCCUCCUCCCCCCUCCCCCUGCCUCUUUCUCUCUCCGCAAGCAAAAACAAAAGUAAGCGUAAAGGCAACAAAAGGAAGGACGGAAAGACGGAAGAGGUGCACCACCCCGUUCACAGCGCACUCAGCAACGAACGGAAGAACAAAACAGCCGAGCCGCUCGUGCACUGUGCGCUAACCGCUGUCGCCUCUCUGCGUCUUGUAGCCGGCAAGAGAGAGAGGCAGCGACGACACUCCCCACACGUUUAUAUCUGGCCUCGUCGGCUAGUCCCCAACCCCCUCCCUCGUUCGACUGUAGCCAUGUCUUUCCUCUACAUUGUCGCCACGGUGCUGUUCGCCCUGGCGGGCUAUUUCUACUUCCAGCUGAACCGGCAGGCUUCCGGACGCUAUGGCGCUGUGUCUGCCACCACCAAUUCCAAUGGCAAGAAGGUGCCUGGCGUGAGCGACGCCGCUGCCAGCGGCAGUAACGCAGUUGCGAAGGAUCAGCAGGAGGUCACUGUCCUGUUUGGAUCGCAGACGGGCACGGCCGAGAUGUUUGCCAAGACGCUGACCCGCGAGGGUACGAAGCUCGGCGUGCCUAUCAAGGUGUGCGACCUCGACUGCUACGAGGCGUACAACAUGGAGUGCGAGCGCCUGGUCAUUCUAAUCUGCGCCACCUACGGCGAGGGUGAGCCGACCGACACAAUGAAGAACUUCCACGACUGGAUGAUGGACGAGUGCCGCUCGCCAGGGGAGGAGCUGGCGAAUGUCAAGUACGCGGUGUUCGGCCUGGGUGAUCGUCAGUACAAGUACUUCUGCGAGGAGGGUAUCGUCAUGGAUCGCCGCUUCGAGGAGCUCGGGGCGCAGCGCAUCUUUGGCCUUGGCUGCGGCGACUCGGGCAACGGACAGCUGGAGGAGCAGUUCGAUGAGUGGUGCAAGGACCUCUGGCCCGCUGUCGGGCGUGCGCUGAACAUCACUAUCAAGGAGAACUCGGAAGAACCCGUGGAGCCACAGUGCCGAGUCAAGUACUGGGAGGAGGCCGAGGAACCGCUCGCGUUCCCCAAAACGGCUUCCGUGCUGGAGCCGACGCAACGCCUGCCGGUGUGGGUGCCCAUCAUCCGCAACGAAGAGCUGCUGCGCAAUGCCGAGGGGCACAGCACCCGCGCCAUCGAUUUCAGCAUCAGCGACACCAUCAUCUCCUACCAAGCCGGCGAUCACCUCGGCAUCCUGCCGUGCAACCCGGACGAGCUUGUCUCGCAGUACCUGCAGUCCCUCGGCAUCUCAGACGAGGAGGCCGGCCGCGUCUUUUCCCUGCAGGACAAAAAGACCCUCAAGAACGUCCUCCCAGCUCGUGUGUCGAUGCGCACGGCGCUCAAGUGGUACAUCGACCUCACCGGGCCCCCGAAGAAAUCGACGUUGCGUGCCUUUGCUCAUUGCUGCACCGACCCCGUCCAGAAAGAGGAGCUGCUGCGCAUUCUACGCGUGAACCAGGACGCACAGAAGGAGUUCGCGAAACUAUGCGGUAAGCUGCGCACCAUGCUAGGCUUCCUGCGCAAGUUCAACUCUGCCAAGGUGCCGCUGUCCUUUUUCCUCGAGCUCAUGCCGCGCAUCGCGCCCCGCUACUACUCUAUCUCCUCCGACCUCCUUGCCACGCCGACCUUGGUGGGGACGACGGUCGGCAUUGUCGAUGGUGGACUGUGCACGAACAUGCUUGCCAGGAUGCAGGUGGGCGACAAGGUGCCCGUGUUUGUGCGUAAGUCCAACUUCCACCUCCCGAUGCGGCACAAGGAGCGGCCGGUGGUAAUGAUUGGCGCCGGCACCGGUGUGGCGCCAUUCAUUGGUUUCAUUGCACGCCGUGGGGUCUGGAAGCAGAAAGGUACUGAACUCGGCAAGUCUAUCCUCUUCUUUGGCUGCCGCCGGCAUGACGAGGAUCACAUCUUCGAGGACUACUGCACGGAGGCACUCCACGAAGGGGUCCUGUCGGCGCUGGUGACCGCGUACAGUCGCGACCAAGCCCACAAGGUGUAUGUCCAGCACCGGCUGAGGGAGCGGGGGGCGGAGAUAUGGGAAAUGUUGGUAUCUGGCGCGAACGUCUACAUCUGCGGUGACGCGAGGCGCAUGGCCAAGGACGUGGAGGCGGAGCUCAAGCGCAUUGUGGAGGUGGAGGGCAAGAUGCCGCGCGAGGCUGCUACCGAGUACAUGAACGUGAUGGAAAAGGAGGGGCGGUACCUAAAGGAUGUGUGGUCAUCGACCUUGUAGGAAACCGCGGUGGAGCGGGAAAGAGAGAAGUACAGAAAGGCGAGAACAUCAUGAAGCAACACAGUUUUUCUUGAGAGAGCAAUCGUGUGUACAGGCGCACCCGGAGGGAGCGACCGUCUCCGUAUGAGGAGGCCUAGCGAGGCGGAUACGCGGAGGGACGGGGGGGGCGAAGAAGGGCAAGGGCAAGCAAAGAGGCGAUUGACGGAUAGCGGUGUUCACGAGUGCAACUACCGGAGGCGAGAGGAUGGUGCACGCUUUCGUUUCUGCGUCGAUGACUUUUGCAGCGUCCUUGUCACAGAUACUUCCGCCUCCCAGGCGGAAGUAUCUGUGUCUGAAGAUCGUGUGUGUGUGUGUGUGUUCUAACUUUUCUUUCUGUUCUUGUUCGAGAUGUGGGGCCUCACUACCUUCCGUUUGACCGUAUUCUUCCAAGUGCACGGUCCUGCCCCCUUCCCCUUUUCUUUCCGCGCACCCUCCGUUGAACUUCUCUCUCGUUCACCCCGUACGUCGUGCAUGGCGUGUGUCGCGGCUGGUGGGCAAAGCAAACAAUUUUUUUUUCCCGCCUCCCUCGUGCAUCUCCGCCUUGCGUCUCUCGGUGAUUUUCGGUGAACUUGUAAAGGUCACACGCACACUCAUACACAUAAACAUACACAUACGCAUGCAAAGGAAAUAAAGAUGAUACGAAGUCAUCUAUGUGCAGCAGGUGGGUCGUAACAGCCCCUGACAUAUCCAGUACAGUGCAGGAAUGCCGCAUGCACAGCGACUCAGACACACGCAUCUCUGGUGUGGUGUGUGCAGGGGGCCUAUGUUUGAUAGGCCCCCUGCUCAUGUCUGCCUACCCUCCCUCUCUCUCUUCCAUUCCUCGCCGGCUACGAUGCUUCAGUGACCCCAGGGACGUGAAAAGAGAGGAGGAGGGCGCGCGGGCGUGCACGCGGUCCACUAUGAAGUUU